rnacentral:rRNA from 1 species
GACGAACGCUGGCGGCGUGCCUAAUACAUGCAAGUAGAACGCUGAAGGAGGAGCUUGCUUCUCUGGAUGAGUUGCGAACGGGUGAGUAACGCGUAGGUAACCUGCCUGGUAGCGGGGGAUAACUAUUGGAAACGAUAGCUAAUACCGCAUAAGAGUAGAUGUUGCAUGACAUUUGCUUAAAAGGUGCAAUUGCAUCACUACCAGAUGGACCUGCGUUGUAUUAGCUAGUUGGUGGGGUAACGGCUUACCAAGGCGACGAUACAUAGCCGACCUGAGAGGGUGAUCGGCCACACUGGGACUGAGACACGGCCCAGACUCCUACGGGAGGCAGCAGUAGGGAAUCUUCGGCAAUGGACGGAAGUCUGACCGAGCAACGCCGCGUGAGUGAAGAAGGGUUUCGGAUCGUAAAGCUCUGUUGUAAGAGAAGAACGAGUGUGAGAGUGGAAAGUUCACAAUGUGACGGUAUCUUACCAGAAAGGGACGGCUAACUACGUG